ACCACCCGGAAGGAGCUUUGCCUCCACCUCCAAAGUCAGCGGCCCUGGCAGGCAGCCUCUAAGCAACACGCUGCCGUCGCCCAGGAGUGAGUGUCACUUCAAUAACCAAACAAACUCCAAGCCGAGAGGGAGCUGCCGUGUGAUUAUGUAAUUCCGCACCAUGGAGCUUACUGCUGUGAUUAGUGAAAAACAGCAUACAUAUAAUAACUUGGGAACUACUUCAAGCAGAGGUAGCUGUGUAUGCAAGAAGGCUAACGUACAGCAAGAUCAAUGCAGGCUGGAGAAGGAGAAGGAAGGCAACAUGAAGACACGGAACUGACGGAAGCGCGGAACAAAGAAGAAAGAGCUUUUCAGGCGACACGGACAGCAAAGCAGAGGAGAAGCACUGGUACACACAUAAUCUUAGCAGUAUCUUCAAUUUAAAUACUAGUGAGUAUCAGGAAAAAAUCAAAAAAUAAUUCUGCUUUCUUGAGGAGUGUCAGCUAAUAAUAGAAUAGAUACAAUUAAAUAAAGCAAUCCCAUCAACAAACCCAAACACAUUCCUUCAAAGUCUGAUCCAUUAUUUAUUAAUUCACUGAUGCAAAGGCCUAAUUGGUAGAGCUGAUGCAGAUACUGAGCGAGCACCUGGCUGCCGCUUAUUACAAAUUAAAUCUGCCAUGAUAAAAUGCUUAAAAUUUUACAUUGUUAUAUCCAUUAUGAAAUAUAAAUCAUAAUUUUCAAAAUAUAAAAUGCACAGAUUGCCUACAUUUUAAAAACAUGGUUAUUCUUCUACUCAAGUUUCUCUAUUCAAUUCUAAAAAGUGUACAAAUUGUUUCAAAUUUUAUAAACUUCACCCCAAACAAGCACAUAAAAUUUUUUUACUAAAAAGGCCAAUAAAGUGAAAAUAUUUGCUUCAAAAAUUC